AUAAUGAUACUCCUGUCCAGCCACAGUCCGAGCAUUAGGUCACAAGGCUUCCGCAAAAUCGCAGAUUUUGUGGAAAGAGGAGAAACUACGUAGCGAAUGAGCUUUCGGAAUUUUUCCGUAAGCGAUUUAGCGGAGUCAGUGACGACGAUGUCGCAGGCAAUGGGGGCAGCUCGGAUGAACUCGGAGGGGUGAGAUUCCCGUG
rnacentral:ncRNA from 1 species